rnacentral:rRNA from 1 species
UACGUAGGGGGCAAGCGUUGUCCGGAAUCAUUGGGCGUAAAGCGCGUGUAGGCGGCCAGGUAGGUCUGGUGUGAAAACUCGAGGCUCAACCUCGAGAGGUCAUCGGAAACCAUCUGGCGUAGAGUCCGGAAGAGGAGAGUGGAAUUCCCGGUGUAGCGGUGAAAUGCGCAGAUAUCGGGAAGAACACCUAUGGCGAAGGCAGCUCUCUGGGACGGUACUGACGCUGAGACGCGAAAGCGUGGGGAGCGAACAGG